UGAACGCUGGCGGCAGGCCUAACACAUGCAAGUCGAGCGGAUGAAGGGAGCUUGCUCCUGGAUUCAGCGGCGGACGGGUGAGUAAUGCCUAGGAAUCUGCCUGGUAGUGGGGGAUAACGUCCGGAAACGGGCGCUAAUACCGCAUACGUCCUGAGGGAGAAAGUGGGGGAUCUUCGGACCUCACGCUAUCAGAUGAGCCUAGGUCGGAUUAGCUAGUUGGUGGGGUAAAGGCCUACCAAGGCGACGAUCCGUAACUGGUCUGAGAGGAUGAUCAGUCACACUGGAACUGAGACACGGUCCAGACUCCUGCGGGAGGCAGCAGUGGGGAAUAUUGGACAAUGGGCGAAAGCCUGAUCCAGCCAUGCCGCGUGUGUGAAGAAGGUCUUCGGAUUGUAAAGCACUUUAAGUUGGGAGGAAGGGCAGUAAGUUAAUACCUUGCUGUUUUGACGUUACCAACAGAAUAAGCACCGGCUAACUUCGUG
rnacentral:rRNA from 1 species